UUGAAAGGGAAACGAUUGAAGUCAGUCGUACCGACGAGAAAUCAACUUAUCGUGUGCGAACUUGUGGGCGUGCGUGAGUUUCGGCCUCGCUGUUUGCAUGUUUGUGCGUUUUGGGUGUACUUUUUCGUAUGGUAGGCCAACGUCAGUUUCGAUUAUCAUAAAAUGACCGGCGGAAUGUAGCUUCGAUUUCGGUUGAAGUGUUAUAGCCUCUGGUAGAUGUGGUGAUUGAGACUGAGGAUUGCAACGAAUACCCUUUGGGCUAUCCGUCUGGCCUCUGAAAGUUGCUCAGGUGCCGAAAGCGUGCUUACGGUCAUCUAAGAUAACGUUCAACAGGUUAGAACGUGAUUAUAUUCGUUAAGGAUGUUG
rnacentral:rRNA from 1 species